GUGGAUGUAUAUGCACAACCCAAAGUGUGCAUUGCAAAAACAAAUUGAAAUAUAAUAAAAAUAUAUUAUAAUAAUACAAUAAAUAUAAUAACAAUAUAUAUAUUAUGUAAAAUAUAUUAUAUUGAUUGAAUACUGUAUAUUUUUACAGUACAGCAUGCUGGUUUUGAGAUACUUUGAGUCUUACCCUGGUACCAGCAAGAGUAUAGGUGGGACUAUGAACGCACCUUUAGCCUUACUGUGCGUUCACACCAAAUGCGAAGGGGCGACACAAUUCCAUAUAGUCAACGUAGAGGCGCUAAUCGGGAAAACAUUUAUUCGCAGAGCGACACUUUUGCCCGGCACUGGCGAGCAUUCACGAGGAUUUGCAGCGUGACACUUUCGCUCGAGUUGAAUUAUUUUAACUUUGCCGCGACAUGUGCGUGAUGACAGCCAAUCAGCGUUCAACAGCGUGGCCACUGAGUGACGUGCAUAACGUAAACGCCUCGUGCCAACUGCCUCCGUCCGUUGACUGAUCCCCAUUGACUGAAUGUGGGACGGACGCGCAAUGCAUUGUGGAUCCGUGCGCUCCGUUGGAGCCAUCGGCUCCGUCAAAAAGUUGAAAAAUGUUCAACUUUUUCGGCAGCGACGGAUCCGUCAUCCAAUCAGAUCGCGUAUGCAAAUUUAAGCACUGAGACUACUCGGGCUCUGACGACCCUGGAAAGCUCCUCCAUCCGUCAGCCACGCCUUCCGACGUCCUUUGACUGACGGUGCAGUGGGCACAGUCAGUCUUUGGCGACAACGCGAACGGCGACAAAAGUGUCUUUUGGUUUGAACGCAGCAUUAAUAAAGUAAUACAAAUGUGAUUGUUUACAUUGCGAUGACCGUGUGUUCAGUUUACGAUAAAUCAUCUGUAGUUUAAAACCUGGAAUUAAAACCUAGACUUUUUUUAUAAAAACAUCUAUAUUUUUUAAAAAUAUUAUUUGAAAUAUUUGUUUGCAAUUAUCAAUGUGGAGUGGGGCUUCCAACACCACCAUUUUCACUCAUGCCUGUAGAAACCGUGCCUGUUGACCAGAGUGCUUCCAUACACAACAGCUAGGCUUGUGUCAGGGGAGGGAGUGAUCGGGGUUUUAAGUGCAGUUCUACUGAUUUCAUUGUCUACACGGGUGCAAAAAGAGUAUUUAUACUAAAAGUCACCAUUAUCCAUUCGUUAAAGGUUCACUCUGCUGAGAAUAACAAUGGCUGCUAUGGCAUCUUUACCUUUUCAUUUUAAGUUGCACAGACUCAUUCAGCCAUUCACUGGCUGUUUGACCCUAUUGCUCUGAUUCCUUUGUGCGAGACCUAUGCAGUAAGCGAUCGAAAUGUAAUAAUUGUCAAUGUUAUUGUGAGAUCUUACAAGGAAAGCGUUCUUGAUCUCAAGAUGUGUGCUGUGUUCAGACAUGCGAUGGUGUCUCCAUAAGACCAACUGUUUGGGUUGCGUUGACCUGUGUCGUCAAGCGUAACCUCGAUCUCGGUUCUAUUUUUAUACAUGCCUUUUGAUACCUCCAGAGUUUCUCAACGUGAUUUUUUGUUUGUUGUUUUUUCAUUUAAAUUAAAGACCUUUAUCUGUGAUGGGGAAGGAAAG
ensembl:lncRNA